rnacentral:rRNA from 1 species
GCCUGUAAGCGGGGAAUAACCCGUUGAAAGACGGACUAAUACCGCAUAAUACGUAAAUUACUGCAAUGGUAAUUUAUUUAAACAUUUAUGGCUUACAGAUGGGCAUGCGCAUGAUUAGCUAGUUGGAGAGGUAACGGCUCCCCAAGGCAACGAUCAUUAGGGGUUCUGAGAGGAAGGUCCCCCCACACUGGUACUGAGACACGGACCAGACUCCUACGGGAGGCAGCAGUGAGGAAUAUUGGUCAAUGGACGAGAGUCUGAACCAGCCAAGUCGCGUGCAGGAAGAAUGUUCCCUAUGGAUUGUAAACUGCUUUUGCAGGGGAAUAAAGUGCAUCACGUGUGAUGUUUUGUAUGUACUCUGCGAAUAAGGAUCGGCUAACUCCGUGCCAGCCGCCGC